CCUACGGGUGGCUGCAGUAGGGAAUAUUGGGCAAUGGAAGAGAUUCUGACCCAGCCAUGCCGCGUGCAGGAUGAAGGCUUUCUGAGUCGUAAACUGCUUUUGCCAGGGAAGAAAAAAGGGCAUGCGUGCCUUACUGACGGUACCUGGUGAAUAAGCACCGGCUAACUCCGUGCCAGCAGCCGCGGUAAUACGGAGGGUGCAAGCGUUGUCCGGAUUUAUUGGGUUUAAAGGGUGCGUAGGCGGUUCUUUAAGUCUGGGGUGAAAGCCCGUUGCUC
rnacentral:rRNA from 1 species